rnacentral:rRNA from 1 species
UAUGCCAUGCGUUGCUGCUGUUAUCAAAAAAAGCAUUAAUUCGUGCUGAAGUUGAUAAAAUUGCACAUAAAAAGUAGAAAGGUUAAACUGAUCGAAUAGGGUACGAAACGUUCUGCGAUACAGAACCUCUCCUACCCAUAACUUCUGGUACUUUUAAAACUUUGGUUUUUUUAAUAGGAUUCAUGGCUUGUACUACACCUAAAAUUUCAUUUCGACAUGUUACGAGUCUCACAUUGGGUAAAACCAACGUUUUUAACCCUACGUAAAACGUUCUACAUACCAGAACUACUCCCAUACGAACAGUGGUACCUAGAACCACUAGGAUGUUAGCUCGUUCUCUGUGGAUGCUAAACCCAGAAACACCUAUGUGGAGGUCAAGAAGGGAGUACACUCGAUUUGUAUCAAUAAUUCAUUAAAUAUAACAAAUAAAGUUUUAUAUUACAACUGUUGAAUAGAGGUAACUGUCGAAUAAAAGUAAGAAGUUUCUUACACGCCUUCUACCAUCUGUCUUGCAUGAUGUGGCUUCCGACGCUUAAUUGAAUAGUCCUCUUUGCUGUAGACCAGCCUAAAACAUCUCUAGAACUCUUAAUGUUAUAGAUGUUAGUUUGAGGAGUUGUAAUACCAGUUAUGCACGGUGAUCACGUGCACAACUUGAUGUCAUUGAUGGUACCUCUAUGGAACUAUUAGGGCUUACUAACACACGGAGUAGACUACAUAUGCGCACCAUCGGAAGUACAAAACUUGUAUGAUGGUCCAGCAGGAUGCUUAGAGUUGACAGGUAUGGCCCAAAGAUUUUCUUCACCUCUGUAUUCUUAAUUUCUUACCUUUUUUACAUACCUGUUAGCAUUCCUCGAAGAACCUUCGUUAUUCGUCGCUUUCCGUUCUUAACCUCUGUCCUACUAGCGGUAAGAAGUAUUACCUCUCAGUCCCAGAUAUAACAAAAUGCGAUAAAAUGGAAUUCCCACAAAUCCAGGAUGGACUAUGACUACUAGUACACGAUUCUUGUUAAUACAUCCCAACCCAAGCUACUGAUAUAUACUCCUACUACUAGCAUACUGAAUAAUAAUUAUUGCUCAUCUUCAACAUACUACUACGUACUAAUCAUCCUG